rnacentral:rRNA from 1 species
UACGGGGGGGGCAAGCGUUGUUCGGAAUUACUGGGCGUAAAGGGCUCGUAGGCGGCCAACUAAGUCCGACGUGAAAUCCCCAGGCUUAACCUGGGAACUGCGUCGGAUACUGGAUGGCUUGAAUUCGGGAGAGGGAUGCAGAAUUCCAGGUGUAGCGGUGAAAUGCGUAGAUAUCUGGAGGAAUACCGGUGGCGAAGGCGGCAUCCUGGACCGACAUUGACGCUGAUGAGCGAAAGCUGGGGGAGCAAACGGG